AAUCAGGCAAUGAAGAGGAGCAGUAAUUUCGAUGAGCGGAAGCAGAGAGUCGGCGGAUGGUGCGAGCCGAUCCGCAGCCGGAGUGAACUCGCCUUGGAGCCGCAGGUAUGAGCCGAUGCAGCGAGCACGGAUAGUCCUGCCGUAUGGCCCGCGUUACGGGCGACAGAGUGAGCGGCGGCAAAGCAUGCCUUCCGCUAACUAGGGUGGUACCACGGGAGCUUCGCCUCUCGUCCCUAGC
rnacentral:ncRNA from 1 species